rnacentral:rRNA from 1 species
GACGAACGUUGGCGGCGUGCUUAACACAUGCAAGUCGAACGGAAAGGCCUGCUUUCCCUUGUGGAUUGCGGGUACUCGAGUGGCGAACGGGUGAGUAACACGUGAGUGAUCUGCCCCCAACUUGGGUAUAAGCCUGGGAAACUGGGUCUAAUUCCCGAUAGGACUGCAGGGUGGUGCCUGUGGUGGAAAACGAUUUUCUAGUGGUUGGGGAUGAGCUCGCGGCCUAUCAGCUUGUUGGUGGGGUAAUGGCCUACCAAGGCGGCGACGGGUAGCCGGCCUGAGAGGGUGGACGGCCACAUUGGGACUGAGAUACGGCCCAGACUCCUACGGGAGGCAGCAGUGGGGAAUAUUGCACAAUGGGCGGAAGCCUGAUGCAGCGACGCCGCGUGGGGGAUGACGGCCUUCGGGUUGUAAACUCCUUUCGACCGCGAGGAAGCCACCUGGUUGGAAGGGUGGUGACGGUAGUGGUAGAAGAAGCACCGGCUAACUACGUG